rnacentral:rRNA from 1 species
GAGUUUGAUCGUGGCUCAGGAUGAACGCUGGCGGCGUGCUUAACACAUGCAAGUCGAACGAAGCACUACCGACGGAACUUUUCGGAGGGAAGAUGGUAAUGACUGAGUGGCGGACGGGUGAGUAACGCGUGGGCAACCUGCCCCAUAGAGGGGGACAACAGCUGGAAACGGCUGCUAAUACCGCAUAACAAGGAGAGAGCGCAUGUUCUUUUCUUCAAAGAUUUAUCGCUAUGGGAUGGACCCGCGUCUGAUUAGCUGGUUGGUGAGGUAACGGCUCACCAAGGCGACGAUCAGUAGCCGGCUUGAGAGAGUGGACGGCCACAUUGGGACUGAGACACGGCCCAAACUCCUACGGGAGGCAGCAGUGGGGAAUAUUGCACAAUGGGGGAAACCCUGAUGCAGCGACGCCGCGUGAGUGAAGAAGUAUCUCGGUACGUAAAGCUCUAUCAGCAGGGAAGAAAAUGACGGUACCUGACUAAGAAGCCCCGGCUAACUACGUGCCAGCCGCCGCAGU